UACGAAGGGGGCUAGCGUUGCUCGGAAUCACUGGGCGUAAAGGGUGCGUAGGCGGGGCUUUAAGUCAGGGGUGAAAUCCUGGAGCUCAACUCCAGAACUGCCUUUGAUACUGAAGAUCUUGAGUUCGGGAGAGGUGAGUGGAACUGCGAGUGUAGAGGUGAAAUUCGUAGAUAUUCGGAAGAACACCAGUGGCGAAGGCGGCUCACUGGCCCAUAACUGACGCUGAGGCACGAAAGCGUGGGGAGCAAACAGG
rnacentral:rRNA from 1 species